rnacentral:rRNA from 1 species
UACGUAGGGGGCUAGCGUUGUCCGGAUUUAUUGGGCGUAAAGAGCGUGUAGGCGGCCAGGUAGGUCUGGUGUGAAAACUCGAGGCUCAACCUCGAGAUGUCGAUGGAAACCGUCUGGCUAGAGUCCGGAAGAGGAGUGUGGAAUUCCUGGUGUAGCGGUGAAAUGCGCAGAUAUCAGGAAGAACACCUAUGGCGAAGGCAGCACUCUGGGACGGUACUGACGCUGAGACGCGAAAGCGUGGGGAGCGAACAGG